UUGAUGCAGAUGAAUUUCAGGAAGAACUGGGAGAGUAGAAACAAAAUUGUCAGCACUUCUCCAUGGAAACCCCAUGGAGGUUUCAGGGCUGAGGACAGCGCUGGGGAAGUCCUGGGGCCCCCAGAAGCCAGAGGUGGGGUAACAAGAGGAUGGGUGGAUGACUUACGCAGGGAGCAGCCCUCUGAAACCGCCGGAAUCGAGGCCUCCUUUGCACCUUGAUUCCACCCAGAGUCUGCGCCUACGCUUUGGGCAGGGGAGGCAGAACCCACGUUGGUCUAAGAGCAGGGAGAAGUGGGCAUGAUCCUACCAUGCUGCAGGGCCUCGGGAUGGGGAUGGGAUUUGCUGCUCUUUGUGCCCAAUUAAUGAGCGAGACGAACAAGCACACUGAGUAGCUUCCUGCCAGCCGUCCCCUUUGGCAGCAAACUCAUCCCCACCUCUGGGCCUUGGCUCGAGUUGUUAGCCAACUCAACCUUGAAGCCGUCCCUUCCUAUCAGCCCAUGCAAAUUCUGCCAUCAGCCAAGGACCGCCUCUUCCUCUUCCGGGAAGCUGACUUCAAGCCAUGCCCUUCCCUUUUGCAAGCUCCCGUGGCUCGCGACCCGCAGCCCACCCCUGCACCAGUGGACACUGCGGGAUGGCCUGGCCUCGGCUCUGCAUUUUCACUUCUCUUAGCUCUCAUCUCCUCCACCACAGAGACAGCUCUGUCUGAGUAUCUUUCUGAUACUGUUCUUUAUCCCCCAGGACUGGCCCAGCCCAGGGCGGUGCGUACAGCAGACACUUAAUGUAACACAGUAGCAGCUUUUAAUUUCUCAGGCCAAUGAGAUACAGACAGUCACUGGUAUGGUAGUUUUUCAGUCAAGCAUCAAGGGAAGAACUUAUUAGUUUGAAUUACAAACAACAGAAGUAGAAAACUCCACAAGGAAAAAUCUCAGCUGGUGAAGAAGCUCAGGAGCUCACAGAAGGUGAGCACUUGGGGUGUGAUGAAGUAAUCAAACCAUCGCCAUCGGCUAAGGAAACCGAGGGGUGCAGAGCUGAUGUCGCUUGGCCCGCAAGCCACGGAGAGUGGGAGCAAGAGGAGGUUUGGUCAGGCUGCCUCUGCCCCUGUCUUUCUCGGCCCACAGGCUCCAAGCAGGCAGGACCAGACCGCAGCUUCCAGGUGCUGGGAUCCGGGGACCACACCUUCACCUGCUGCUCUCUUGAAGGAAAAACAAAUAUCUGCCUCUGGCAGGUAAAAAAAAAAUAAAAGGAGUGCGUCUCA
rnacentral:lncRNA from 1 species